rnacentral:tRNA from 1 species
GCGCCUGCUCAGGGUAGGAUCUCCGGACUAAGGCCCCGGGGCAUCGGCGGUUCGACUCCGCUCAGGCGCU